UCCCUGGUGGUCCAGUGGUUAGGACUUGGAGCUUUCACUGCUGUGGGCCCAGGUUCGAUCCCUGGCCAGGGAA
rnacentral:tRNA from 1 species